UACGAAGGGGGCUAGCGUUGCUCGGAAUCACUGGGCGUAAAGGGUGCGUAGGCGGGUUUUUAAGUCAGAGGUGAAAUCCUGGAGCUCAACUCCAGAACUGCCUUUGAUACUGGGAAUCUUGAGUAUGGAAGAGGUGAGUGGAACUGCGAGUGUAGAGGUGAAAUUCGUAGAUAUUCGCAAGAACACCAGUGGCGAAGGCGGCUCACUGGUCAAUAACUGACGCUGAGGCACGAAAGCGUGGGGAGCAAACAGG
rnacentral:rRNA from 1 species